rnacentral:tRNA from 1 species
GCGGGAUUAGUUGAGCGGUUCAACACCUCCCUUCCAAGGAGGAAAGACGGGUUCGACUCCCGUAUCCCGCU